UAUAUAUAUAUCUGAAAAUGAAAGUCGUCACGUCAAAACUUUUGGAUGAUUUAUUUUUAUUGCUCGAGUAUUGUACUAUAGGUAGCGAGUUCCAUGUUGAACUGCAAAUUUAGAAGAAAAAAAAGUUCAUUCGAUGGUAGAAAAAAAUAUCACACAAAACAUAGAUUACUGGUAAAUAUUUCUAGGUAGUGAGUUAAGAGACAAAAACCUACAAAGCCACACAAGAUAAACACUAGCCCGUGUGAAUGCGCGGUUUAACGACUAGUAGUAUAAAAUGCUCAAAUAUGGUGAUUUCACCAAAGUUUUUGCACAUGGAUGUUUCAGAUAAAGAGCUACAUGGAGUUCGAGCUCCAUUUUGCAUUCUGGUUAAAGUUUUUUUGAAAGGUGCUUAUAAUAUAGAAAACACUUUAGGUAGAAAUUCUAACGUGAGCUGUUCAUUGUCUGAAACUUGUGUUGAACUUAUCAAACUUAUCACAGGAUACCUGAAUGUGGGUUGCUUUAGACUUGCCUUGAGGAACUGGUGACAAAAUACACAUAAACCAAGUUUGUUAAAAUUAUCUCCACGAACUAUAUUCCCAAUUACCCAUAUAGGAUGUUGCCGAAGGGAUUUUUGUUGGUCUGUAGAAGCUUUGUGGAACGAAAUGCACACCUGAAUGUAGGUUAUAUGGCACAAUCAGUUUCCAUUAUCUUAGUUCAAGUUUUCUUUUCGUGAGGUUACUUCAAGUUACUCUUUAUUUAAUUGGCUGGACAACAAAAUAACAGUGUAUGUGUGUGGCUAUCUUAAAGUUUCAAUUACCCGCUUGUAGUAUACAAUUUACUAUUUUUCUGUAUGCUAUAAUCUAGAUGCCUUAACAUGGCUAAUCUUUGAUCUUAGGAUGAGACUUCCUUUUUUCGUACCAAGAGGGAACCAUGUUGAUGACAACAUGCAUGUCUAUAUGUUUGAUAUAUAUGGUCCUAAUGUAUGUUUGGUUUGUGACAUAUGGCAAAAGAAAAGAAAAAGGUUGAGGAGACAAACUUUAAGAGUCCCUAACAGAGUGGCAUGCCUACUUCGCAGUUAUACAUUCUUGUUACAAUUAAAUUGAGCCUCUACUAGGAAUAAGGAACAACAAGAAUUUGUAUUGGUCAUUUACAGUACACUGAACUGAUUGAGCCUUCCUUCGAUAAAUGAUCGAUCCUAGAAUAUUUAAGUUUUGAAUGCGGCUUGCAUCUCCACAUGUUGAGUUUUCAUUCUCUUUAUUUAAUCUAUUGCAGUGGUGCUUUGCCAGUCAGGUCUAGCACUGAACGAUGUGCAGGGUGGUGGUGGUUCAUCCUAUAGCAAUGUCAAAGAAGGCAUCCAUAGAAGUUCAUAGAGAAGCUUGUCAUCUACUCCCGCCGUACAUAUAUAUAUGGCGUUUUGGUAGGCUAAGUAGCAUGAAGGCCGAUGAAGACGAAGAUGAUGCAUGGCUAGGUUGUUGAUAGAAAGAUGGAGAAUGGGGCUACUACAAGAUAGUUUUACAUUUUGCCUUCUUUUUCAUGGUUAAUAUAUAGGAGAUUAUGUGAUAUCUUUUUCAGAUUGUGUUCCAUGUAAUGCAACCAAGUUGAUUAAAUAUAUGAAAUCUUUCUGUUUACUGGAUUGCU
rnacentral:lncRNA from 1 species